UGGGGCGUGGCCAAGUGGUAAGGCAGCGGGUUUUGGUCCCGUUAUUUCGAAGGUUCGAAUCCUUCCGUCCCAG
rnacentral:tRNA from 1 species